AUCAAUCGUGGAAACAAGAUUUAAACCCAGGCAGUUUUUCUCCAGAGCCUGCCUUCUUUUUCACCACUAAACAUAAAUGUCAACAGAGAGAUGUGUGAGGGCUGAUUGUGAGCAUGUCUUCCCAAGUCUGAAUUCAGUGACCUCACAUUAGUAGCCUGAAAUCAGCUGUGGUAAAUGUAUUCCCACCAUGGAAAUCAGUAAAUGCUGUAAUCAGAGCUCCUCUUGCCUCUCCGGAGCUGGUUGCUAAACAUUUACCAGCACACCACUGGUUACAGACACAUUUGGAAAGCUGUUUGACGGAAUAUUGCAGGUAGGAGCAUAAAUCCAGUCCCUGGUACUCCAUCUUGGCCAGAGUAGAAGUCCAAGUAGCAAUUUUCCUGAAAUGGAAUAAAUGAAGGCUUUAAGAGGGUUCAUCUGAGAAAUGUAUUGGAAGCAGCACUUGCCCCAUCUGUCUGUCCUGGCUCCACUACAGUGCCCGCCAUGACCAGGGUUUGUCCACUAGCUGGAGAUCAUACUAUUACAACAAAGAGGCUACUUACAUGGGGCUCUUUCUAAGUGAGCAGAGUCAGCUCAAAUUCUGCACAAGAGACAAUCUACCUGCCAACUCUGGUCUGCAGCAUGAGGAGCUCUUUUGCUGAUGGGCAAAAGGUUUGAAUCCUGGUUCCACCAUGGCUAAUUGGGUGACAGUGGACAACCUACUUUCUGGGCCCCAGUUUCUUAUGUGGUAGACAAUGGAGAACUUCAAAGGGGAAGACACUGCCUUGGCUCCCUGAAGUGUGGAUAUGGCCCACUCUCAUUCUGCUGCUUGGACUCACCAAACUCUGGCCUCCUUUAUCUCUGAGUUGAACUUUUAAGGCAAGACAAUCCCUCCUAAGGAAACUGAAGUUCUAACUUUCCCAAGACCAAAGAGGCUUAAUCUCAGAUCACGGAAUUUACAAUGUUGGAAAAACUCCACCUCAUAAUUACUUCUCAAUCAUCUCCUUCUUUCUAUCUCAUUCACAAAUAUAGCCUUCAAGCAAUUUAUUCAAAAUGUCACUAAUCAGGAAGGAAAAUAAUUAUUUCAGGAGGAGAGGUGUUAGUUUUACCACUGAUUGCUGUGUGACUCUUGAGAAAGCACUGCUGGUUUAAGUGAGUGGGUUUGAAAAUCACAAAGGUUAGUAAGGAGGUGGUGGCAGAGGACCAGGCAAUUUUAAAAUAUGGUAUUGCCCAACACCAUUUAUUAAAGAGACUCUUUUCUCCAUUGUGUAUUCCUUCCUCCUUUGUCAUAGAUUAAUUGACCACAUAGGCGUGGAUUUAUUUCUGCACUCUCUAUUCUGUUCCAUUGAUCUGUGUCU
rnacentral:lncRNA from 1 species